ACUUGCUGUCCCAAAAAUGUUAAUAAGGUGACUAAAAAUGUACAGUAAGUGUUAUGCUUAUAGCUACUGUCUCAUCUAACCGGGGUAUGAGCCAAAGUCUUAUUUAAGGCCACGCUGAUCAAAUUGAAGCCUUCUCCUUUCAGUAAAUGUGAACACGAGUGGGCAAUGUGGAUUUAAUAUGUUGUGUUGAUAUUUUUGCAUUUCUACCGAAAUCUGUGUGCUGUUUGCAUGUUCUCUCCCCGUGCCUGCGUGGGUUUCUCCGGGUACUCCGGUUUCCUCCCAUGUCCCAAAAACAUGCAGCGUAGGUGAAUUGAACUGCCUACCGCUCAAUGACAGCUGGGAUUGGCUCCAAGUAUAUAUAUAUAUAUAUAUAUAUAUAUAUAUCAAAAACAUCUGUUAAAAUGACAAAUGCUAAGACGUAGCCACCCAGCGUGACAAUGUGAAAAGUGUGAUGCAACCAGGCUUCAAUUUGGGUUUGUGGAGGUAAGGAUAAUUGGGGGAAAUAUUUUGUAGAAUCCACAUACAUUCUUGUCUCGAUGAGUAUUACCUCCCAAGAAUGUAAAUUCCUCAAAAACAUCGAUCAAAAUUAGAAAUGCUAACGUGUAGCCGGCUAGCGUUGUGAUAUCAAAAGUGUGGCGCAACCAGAAAAUUGGCUUGUCAGGGUGUUUCAGAGUUGACCGCCUUGGCUUACUUAAAAAAAAAUUGGGUCAAAAGUGGAAAAUUGCCUUGAAAAGAAUACCCUGUCUUAACAUCAGAUAAGGUAAAACCACCCGAGAGCGUAAAAUCCUCCAAAACGACUGUAGGAAUUAGUAAUGCUAACAUGUAGCCACUUAGCAUUAUAACAUCACAUGUGUAACAUGACCGGAAAAUUAGCUUGACAGGACAUUUCGCAGUUGAUUCCGAGUGCUUUCCACAAAGCUUGUUGAAGCCAGCGAGUUAAGGAGUUAAGGAUGCAGGUGAAAUGUUAGCAUUGUGACUGAUUUCAUUCUUCAUUGAGAAAUGAAGUGAAUCCACACCAAGUCGUUUUGGUGUCACCCUGCAAACCUUGGUGGAGGUUUUCAAAAUAUGUCCUGUUGUGUGCUGAUUUUGCAUCUGUGUGCAUGGGAAAGUGGCAGCUGCUCUGGCCAGGUCAUUCCUGGUUUACAUGCGGGACACCCCCCUUCCUCCCCACCACCAAAGAGGUCAAGGGAGGCUAUGGGAUGUAUUAAAAAUAACACGUAAUUGCUUCUGCAGCCUUCGAAGUACUUCUGUCGCUAAAUCCGGCUCCUGUGCAUGGAUACGGUGCAGACCAAAGUACUGGCCAAGCUGACUAUGGGCUCGGUUCAUCUUCAUCUCAAAGGUGUUUGUGUGUCUGUAGUCUACAAAAACAACCCCAAACCCUACAAAACUCCUCCCUCAAAUAAACGCCAUGCUCAAAUCGUCUUAAGGCAAGGCAGGCAGAUUUGUUUUCGAGCGCAUUUCAUACACAAGGUAACUCAAUCUGCUUGACAUGAUUAAAAGUACUAUAUUUAAAAGCAAAGAGGAUUUUUUUUUUAAUCAAUGCCUCCCUCAAAUAUAUGCCAUGGCCCCAAAGACAAUUCAAAGUGCUUUACAUGUUUCCUUAAAAGCAUUCCAGAAAGAGAAACAAAAGAUUAUGACAUGGCAAAAAUCACAAUAAAACCAUCCAAAAGAAUUAGAUUUGAUUGUUUGAAAGCAAGCAUCGUCCAUUUGCAAAGAUAGCGUGGAAAUGGGGAUUAAAACAAGGAAAUAAAGGACUGACGCAUGAGAAUGUUAAGCGCAACAAUCAUGUUUCCAGCCCUGGUUGAAAUGAACUGUCAGUUUGGGCAGACUUCAGCUAGUCGCGGAGUUUGUUUCACAGGUGAGGAGCAGAAGACCUUAAUGCUGCUUCACUUUUGUUUGCUUCUGGUUCUGGGAACACACAAGAGACCCGUCUCAGAGAACCUGAGGGGUCUGGAUGCUUCACCGGGUACGAGUACAUCUGGCAUGUAUUUUGGCCCAAGACCAUUUAGAGAUUUAUAGACCAGCAGCAAGAUUUCAAACUCUAUUUUUGACUCACUGGAAGCUAGUGUAGUGACUUGAGGACAGGUGCGAUGUGGUCCAGUUUCUUGGUUUUUGUAAAGACUCUGGCGCCACCAUUUUGAAUCAGCUGCCUGGGCAGGUUUUUUUUCUUCUUUUUUUUUUUUUAAAGGUCACCUCUAAAGACAGCAUUACAGUCAAGUAGCCUACUGAAAAUAAAAGCACGAACAAGUUUUUCUGUGUCUGGCUCAGACAGAAAGCCCUUAAUUUGAGCUACGUGUUGCAGGUGGUAAUAGGCAGAAUAAGUUAUGGCUUCGAAGUGGUUGUUAAAAUUCAGGUUCAGAGUCAAUAAUUAAAGCCAAGAUUUCUGCCUUGAUUUGGUCACCAAUUAGUCGAAUCCUGGUGUUCUCGGCUAAGGACAAAAAGACACCUCCCUCAAAGAGACAACGCGGCCAAUUAGUUGCACGGCGUGUCAUCCAUUUAUGACUGACGGCCGCCCUCAAAUAAACACCGUGCCCCAAUUUCUCCCUUGUUUGGUUAUCCGUUCAAGACAAAUAAAUGCCUCCCUCACCCACCACUACAGUCAUGCAAAAGCACUCUAGUAAAUGGAUGGGUGGAGUCCAGUCCAAGUUUGGGCAGAUUGAUUACUUUUGAGACGUGCCCGAAUACGUGUGGCGCUAUCAUGCCACCCCAGUGUUGUCCUGUGUUCAAAUCAAGACUCCAAACGCACAAAAGUGCACCGCGCCACAAGUAUGACUGCACCUGAAGGCGACGCGUGCGGAGUUAUUUGGGGUCAAGUUCAGGCUGUCACACUGAUAUUUUGGGACGCGGCGUGACUCGUCGUCCGCAGGGGAAGUUGCCGCGAAAAGGGGCAUGAAAGGACCAGCUUCCUGCCGCAAAAAGGGUUCCUGCAACGCAACGUGCACUGCCUCACUUUCUCCUCAGGGGCCGUGGACACUUACGAACAAGGCUUGAGGGACAAACAAACAGAUAUUUUUGGUACGUUUUGUUUUUGCGUGCGGAACUGCUUGCGCGGUGUUGCGUAUUCAUUUUUUCAUUCAGCACAUUCACCGCUCACUUGAUUAGGUACACCGGCCGGCCUGCCCCAUCUUGCUUGAAAGCGGGAUUUGUGAAAUAUUGGAAAUGUGUGAAGCAUCCAGGUAGCAUGUGUCCUGGAUGCACGUCUUUGUUUCUGCGGGCCCCUGUUGAGCGGCUUACUGCUGUGUCCUCAUGUGGACAAAGUCAGUAUUGCAGGAUCAGGUCCGGGGGGGAUCAGGUCAUUCCAUCCCCGCGAUUGGAAGCCGGAAACAGUAUUGAGCGUAUUCACACCGUGGUGCUGCUACAUGGAGGCGCUAUGUUCCGUUUUCGAGCUGUUGUGCAACAUUGAGUCGAAAAGCAUUAAGAUAUGUACAGUGUGUAUACCGUGAGUGGAGUCGAUGUGUCCGUUUCUUGCAGAUAAAUAAUUAAGCUGUGACCUGGAUGUUGUUCUUGUUGGGGUCGCUUGAUCCUUUUUUUUCUAAGUGGUUCUACUAUUUGAAUGUAUUCUUUAAAAUGACCCAUGUUUCUCUUCAAGGUGUACAGUCGAUUUUGUGAGUGCUCAAGUUUAAACAGUUGAUGAUUUUACUGUGUGUGAGUGUGUGUGUUUGCGUGUGUGUAUAUCUUGUGUCCGAAGUGGUGGAAGAAGAAUAAAAUCCUCGUGUCAAA